rnacentral:lncRNA from 1 species
UUUCUAAUAAAACCAUGAGUUUUAUUGAGAAAUCGGGCUCUACAAAAGGUCGGGCUUCGAAACCGAAAAGAUAAAUUUUCCGGGCUUCACGGGCACUUCGUGGCGUAUUCUGGGGCUUAUAAUCGAUGUCGGGGGUUCGGGGGGUGAUAAUAUGAAAGAAGUAUGGAGAAAGGGGCUAAAAAUGACAAGUUUUCAAAAUACCACCGGGAGGUCUCGCACCCUUCUAUUUAUAAGGAAGAGCUUCUGAUCGGACGGCUGAGAAGGAACCACGUCUCGCAGAUUCGAGGGUUCGCAGGCGAAGGCUCGCACGAGGGCUGCGCGUGCGAAGGGCUGCUGACAGUUUGUGAUUGGUCCGAGGCGUGUGUCCGAUGCGCAGGUGGUCAGCAUGUGCGAGGGUCUCGGUGGCACUCGCUGAUUGGACUGCGGAGUCGUCUUACAUGUGCGAGGCUUGGAGCUAGGUGCGAGCUUCGGAUUGGUCAGCAUCCUUGGUUUGGACAGAUGCUCGGUUCGGAUUGGGUCUCCUUCUUGGUCGAAUCAGAAGCCUACACGCGAGUCGGAUCACGUGGGUUGCAUGUGAGGAUCACGUGGCUACUGUUCAUGCGAGGAUGACUCAGCAAACUUCGGUGACUCAACAGGACACGUGGCAUUUAUUCAGCAAGGAUGACGUGGCAACUCGUGACUAUGCGAAUUUUCUCGAUUUUCGCACCAAAACUUCUAAAAUCCAUAACUUUCGCAUACAAGCUCCGAUUUUGACUUUCUUUAUAUGCACGCGUAGCUAAAGUUGCGCUUUACAACUUCCGUUUAGACUUUGUUGGCUAAUUUUGAAUUUAAAUUUUAUAUUAUUAUUUUUAACAGACCGGGACAGGAAAUCCGUUAAAAAUUCAUAAUUUCUUCAUCCGACGUCCGUUUUCGUCAGACUUUUUACCGUUGUGCUCCUAAUGACGAGACCUUCAAUUCUCGUUUAGGUUGUGUCGGCUAAAAAUCGCUCGAUCUAAAAUUCGAGUUUUUAGCUGUCUACUGCUAAGCUGAAACUUCGAAAAAUCAUAACUUCCUCAUACGAAGUCAGAUUUGGGCGUUCUUUUUAUCGAACUUCUCGGUUUAACGAAUACUACGACUUUCGUUUAGAUUGCUAAGGCUAAAAAGUAGCUUAUCAAAAACUCAUUUUUUACGACACUCGGCACCGUGUCGGUUUUGUCGCGAAACUUCGACAGGUCAUAACUUCUUCGUUAUAACUCGGAUUUCGACAUUGUUUAUAUCCCCGAAAUCCUUGUUUCGACCAUUAAAACUUUAUGUAAAGACAUCGGACUUAUAUCACACUUUAAUUUUGACGGUUAUUUUUAUUUUUAAUUAAUUAAACCCUAAUAAUUAAGCAUAAAACACAUAAUUCACAUAAAAUUCAUAUAAUUCCUUUUCAUUUCUUCUAAAUGAGUUACAAAGGUUAACCUAGACCAUUAUGUCAAUAUUAAUGCCUAGCCUAGAAACACGGGCGUUACAACUCUCUCCCCCUUAGGAUGAUUCCGUCCCCGGAAUCACACAACGACAAACAACUACGGGUAGCGACUCACUAUGUCGCUCUCCGUUUCCCAGGUGGGAUCUGGCCCAUUUAUAAGUUUCCAACGUACAGGCACUAAAUCGACUAUCUUACGUUACAACUUCUUAUUCUUACGGUUAACGAUUACCUCAGGUUCUCCAAUUAACCUCUUGUUCUCGUCCAACCUUAAUUCAGAAAUGGGAAUUAUGUCGGGCACACCUCCCGUGAACUUUUUCAAAUAACACACAUGAAAGGUGUUAUGAAUACUCUCUAGUUCUUCCGGUAAUUCUAGCUUGUAAGCUUGAUUCCGAAUUCUCUGAAGAACUUUAAAUGGUCCAAUAAACUUUGGACUCAACUUUCCCCUUCUACCAAAUCUUAUAAGUCCCUUCCACGACGAGACUUUAAGUGAAACCGAAUCUCCAACUUCGAAUGAUAUCGGUUGUCUUUUCUUGUCAGCAUAGCUCUUUUGAGCAGCUAACAUCUUUUUCCCUAAUCACUUACAACUUUUCAGCAAUCUAAUGGACUAUUUCAAGUCCCAUAAACUGCUUUUCCUCAGCUUCCAGCCAACAUGAUGGCAUCCGACACUUUUUCCCAUGCAAAGCGUGAUAAGGUACCAUCUUGACACUUGAGUGGAAACUAUUAUUAUAGGUGAAUUCUACUAAAGGUAAGUGUUCAUCCAAGUUACCUUGAAAUUCUAGGGUACAUGUUCUCAGCAUAUCCUCCAACGUUUGAAUCGUCCAUUCGCUCUGACCAUCGGUUUGCAGAUGGUAAGCUGUAUUCAAACACAACUUGGUACCCAAUUCCUCUUAUAGACUCCUCCAAAAACCUUGAGGUAAAACGGCUUUCACGAUCGGAUACAAUCGUUAACGAAACACCGUGAAGCCUCACACUUUCCUUCACAUAAGAAUUCACAAGUUUAUCCAUAGACCAUUUCUCGUUGGCUGCUAUGAAAUGCGCACUCUUAGUGAAGCGAUCAAUGAUCACCCAAAUCAUGUCGUGACCAUUCCUUGUUCUGGGCAGUUUAGUCACAGAAUCCAUAGUGAUAUCUUCCCAUUUACCCGUGGGUACAGGUAAAGGUUCUAAACUCCCAUACAUUUUCUGAUGUUGUGCCUUAACCCUGGCACAAGUUACACACUUAGCCACAUACUUUAGCAACUUCGAGCUUCAUCGUCGGCUACCAGUAAUAGGGUUUUAGAUCCCUAUACAUUUUUGUACUGCUGGGAUGAAUCGAGUACAUGGUCUUGUGAGCUUCUUCCAUCAGAAGACCUCUUGUUCCUCCCAUCCUAGGUACCCAAAUCCUAUCUUUGAAUACCUCCAGUCCUUGAUUGUUUGUAUCAAACACCAACGUUUUACUCAAACGUUCCUCCUUUCGGUCAUUUUUUUCUCUAUAGCUUCCUCUUGAGCUUUCUUUAUACUUUUCACAAUUGUCAAGACAACUUUAAUUCUUAACGCUCUUGGCCCUUUUCUUUUCAAGAGUUACCUUCCGACUGAGAGUAUCAACAACAACAUUUGCUUUACCGGGGUGGUAAAGUGUCUCGCAGUCGUAAUCCUUGAGUAACUCUAGCCAGCGUCGUUGCCUCAUGUUUAAUUCCUUCUGAUUAAAGAGAUAUUGAAGACUCUUAUGAUCAGUGAAAAGUUUACACUUUGUGCCAUAAGGAUAAUGCCUCCAUAUCUUUAGGGUGAAUACUACCGUUGCCAACUCCACAUCGUAAGUGGGGUAGUUCUUUUCAUGCUCUUUCAAUUGCCUCGAUGCAUACGCUAUCACCUUAUCCCUUUGGGUCAGAACACAUCCUAACCCAACUCCAGAGGCAUCACUAUAAACUGUGAAGUCAUCAACUCCUUUAGGUAACGAAAGAAUCGGUGCUUCACACAACUUCUUCUUUGACUUCUCAAAGCUUCAUAUGCUUCUCAUUCCAAGUAUAGACAGCUCCUUUGUGGGUCAAAGCUGUCAAUGGAGUCGCGAUCGAAGAAAAGCCUUGGAUAAUUCAGUAAUAAUAUCCAGCUAAUCCUAAAAAGCUUCAGAUCUCCAUAGGACUUUCAAUUGUAACCUUCGAGUUACAAAAUAAAUCCUUAUUGAGGACUCCUUCUUCUUCUUGGAAUAAGUACUUUCCUUCAUUUAUUGUAACAGACCGAUGGGUCAUGUUCUAAUGAUCUCUCAUUGUAUACUGCACUACUUAGACUCAGAUCUCCUAGGGACAAAUUUCAGAACAAAUUAUACCUUCCUUCAUGUUCUAAUGUGAUACAAUCACCGUUCAACAUGUAUCAUUUCUAACUACCAACUUCUUUAACAAUGAGUGCGAUACUUCUAUUGAUCGCUUUGAUCAUCUUUCAUUUCAAUCUUCUGGCUUAAGUCAAAUGUUACAUCGAACUUGGUUCUCUGAACCACAUAAUAAACUCAUCGUAGUCGGACUCAAUUUGAUAUGACCUCUAAGGUCGGAAUAACAAUCAUCUUCUUAGUCAUUACCGAAACGAUGGUAACGACAGACUAGAACAAGACGGAAUCAAAUAAUAGCUUCUUGGUAACCUUGUGACUUUCCCUGAUCCAAGUGCGAGUCCUGUGCUUCCAGUAGUAUAGAUCUCUACUACUAUUCACACCUACUCAUACUCGUCCCAAGUACUGUCUCGCAGUCCCCAAGUCCUAAAAUCACAAAACAAUUUAACACAUACAAAUGUGUCCAAUUAAUCAUAAAAUUUUCCUAGACUCUACUAGGACUUCUUUCACGCGUAUCUUCAAUGAUCAACUCUACUUCAACUUGGUUGGUGAUGGAAAUUUCAGAUGAUUGGGACAACUUCAAAAAUUACACCAGCCAUUCUAUUCAUCAGACGACAAAACCAGGGUUUAUUUUAUUUCCUUGAAACGAUUACACAAAGGUUCAAGUUUACCCUAUACUAUGCCUCUCAUAGGCUAAACUACUUGUUACUAUUCACAUUACUACUUCGUAACUUGAUCUUCGGGUAUCAAGUCUUGACUUCUACUUCCUAGUGUUAUUAAUCGCUUCUUCAAGGAUAUCCUGAAAUUCCUUUGGCAUUGAUGGUGCACUUGGCCUUGUUACUUCAUUGUUCUUCUGACAAUUCUUAGAAAUAUGGCCUUCUUCUUUACAUCCGUAGCACACCUCCUUGGGAAUCGUACACUUAUUGGCGUAAUGCCCUAUUUCUCCACACUUAAAGCACUUCACCUUCCCGUCACAAUUCCCAGAGUGUUUAUUUUUGCACUUCCCGCACCAUUUUCCUUUAUCUCUUCUUUUGCCAAACUUUGAGGAUAUGUUGCUCUUGUUGGGCCUUGAAGACCCCUCAAAUUUCCUCUUCUUGCCAACUUCAACUUUGUUGGCGGUUGUGUCAUUGAUCAUUUCCUCAAUAGACUUAGCAACCCUAAUAGUUGCCUCAAGAACAGAUGUCUGACCUAUUGGCACAAUAAGUUCAUCCUUACUUUGUUGAAGUAAACGUUUUGUUUCUUCCAUCUGUUCACCUAACAUCGUACGUACCAUUGCCUGCACUCCAGUCAUCGUGAUUGGCUCAGGCUGUGGAUUAUCACUUCCGAACCCACUUUGAGUACUCGGCAUUUCGAUCUAUAUACCAAUCGUAGGUGAACUUAGAUCUUCAUUUUUGUUAGAUGUUAAGUCUUCGAAACGUUUAUAUGUUAGUUCCAAUAUCGUAGUCAUACGUUUAGAAUCCUACACACAUAAGGUUUCCAGAUCCGGUCGGCAACAGACCAUAGAUCCGAACAAAUAAUGGCACACAUGGCAAACACAUAACAUUUAGCACAUAAGGGCAUUUUAGGCAUCUUCCCUAAAAUAAACUAGUGCUCGUGUCUAAAAUAUGGUAGACACUCAUCUCACAAUCAUCACUUAGCAUUCUAAGUUCAAGUCUAGAAAUUCUACAAUUUCUUAGUUCGCUUAAACUAAUGCUCUGAUACCAACUGUGACAUCCCCAAAUUUCUCGGCCAGAAAAGACCGAUUUAAUUUAUGCUUUUUAAAAAUCAAAUCAGAGAAAUCUUUAUAAAAGAUGUUGCGGAAUUGGUCCCCAAAACAAAAUAUGAUAAAAGUUUGUCAAAACCUUUCUUUAAGAAAUAUAUCAUUUCCUUUUAUAUCAAAACCUCGGGAUGUCAUGUUCCGAUACAGAUCAAAAGCAUAAACAAGACAUUAUAAGCCUUACGACAGUUAAUUGUAACUACUGACCUAUAAUCCAAAAUUCACUCAUCAUCAUCAUCCGACUAUGCUCGGGGUCCUCUACCCGUAAUAUAAACAGCUGAGUGGGUCAAGCUUAGAAGCCUGGUGAGCAUAUAGGGUUUUCAACCCAUAAUACAUAAAUUUAUUAUGUUUAAACAUCAAUCAAUCAACCUAAUUACCCCAAACCCCAUUAUUUUAUUUAUUUCUUAAGGGUUUACCCAAAGAAUCAACUAUCACUCCUUCCUAAGGAUUCAUCCUAAGGAAUAGACACAAAGUCACCUCAUGACCGGGGUUUAUACAACGGGCACUAAUUCCAUAGCUGCCAAAGUUUAUUCAACAUGUGCUAAGUCCAUAGCUCUCAUUUAUCGACAGUAUUAUUUACAGGUGUUCUCUCCUGCAAUACAUGUCAAUGGGUUUUAGAGUACAACAAAUGAACAUAUAGUUCAUUACACCUACAGGUUGCGGGCCUGCUAGUGUUCCAUAGACUGUCUAGAAUAGUCCAUGGUUGUCAUCCAUACUCUGCUGAAUGACGGGGGCCAACAAUUUGGGUAAGUNAACACACAUCAACUAUUUCAUCUACCCAUGUUCUACCCAACAUAUUUUGUAGAUAAAAAGCAUAUACAGUUUAAAACUUGUAUAAAACAUCAAUUCAACAGUCACCUCAAUUAAACAAUUAAUAUAUUUACACAUAACACGUAUUUCAAGGUAAAUACUUCAUAUCUAUGUGUAAAUUGAAAGUAACUACACACUCACAUGAUUUAAUGAAAACCGGGCAGCAAUUCGUUUCCUAAAACGAUCGUUUCUAAUAAAACCAUGAGUUUUAUUGAGAAAUCGGGCUCUACAAAAGGUCGGGCUUCGAAACCGAAAAGAUAAAUUUUCCGGGCUUCACGGGCACUUCGUGGCGUAUUCUGGGGCUUAUAAUCGAUGUCGGGGGUUCGGGGGGUGAUAAUAUGAAAGAAGUAUGGAGAAAGGGGCUAAAAAUGACAAGUUUUCAAAAUACCACCGGGAGGUCUCGCACCCUUCUAUUUAUAAGGAAGAGCUUCUGAUCGGACGGCUGAGAAGGAACCACGUCUCGCAGAUUCGAGGGUUCGCAGGCGAAGGCUCGCACGAGGGCUGCGCGUGCGAAGGGCUGCUGGCAGUUUGUGAUUGGUCCGAGGCGUGUGUCCGAUGCGCAGGUGGUCAGCAUGUGCGAGGGUCUC